GAUGAACGCUGGCGGCGUGCCUAAUACAUGCAAGUCGAGCGAACGGACCAGAAGUUUGCUUCUCUGAUGUUAGCGGCGGACGGGUGAGUAACACGUGGAUAACCUACCUAUAAGACUGGGAUAACUUCGGGAAACCGUAGCUAAUACCGGAUAAUAUUUUGAACCGCAUGGUUCAAAAGUGAAAGAAGGUCUUUCUGUCACUUAUAGAUGGACACGCGCUGCAUUAGCUAGUUGGUAAGGGAACGGAUUACCGAAGCAAGGAGGCAUACCCGCCCCGAACGGGUCAUCGGCUACACGGGUAGUGAGACAGGUUCCAGACUCCUACAGGAGGAAGCAGUAGGGAAUCCUACGCAAUGGGCGAAUGCCUGACCGAACAACGCCGCGUGAGUGAUGAAGGAGUUCUGAUCGUAAAACUCUGAUGUUAGGAAAGAACAAAUGUGUAAGUAGCUGUGCAGAUCUUGACGGUACCAAAACAAGAAGCCACGGCUAACUACGUG
rnacentral:rRNA from 1 species